UGCAUGCUUUUUUAGAUGGUUUUUUAUUUUCUAAUAUUGUGUUUUAACUUGGACUGAGUGCAUUGAACUCUAAUUGAUCAAGUGAUGGACUAAGUGAGAACACCAGCGAGUUAUUGGAUGACACACCCCACUUCACUCAGGAUUGGCGGACUGGACUGAGUUCCUUCAUUUUUUUGGCCGAGUGUGAGAGGUGAAGGAGGUGGAGAAGGAAGGAAAGGCAGGAGAGACCUGUGGAGAGGGGUCGCUCCACAGAAAAUCGGUUGCAGUUGGUCGUGGGAACCUGAGGACGGAGACUACUCGUUGAAGCAUCGUGGAUACACCGGAGGAAAGGUGCAGCUGGGACGAGGAAGCAGACAGACCACAGCAGGACGAGCCAGGCGUCGAUGACAGAGACUUGGUUCAACGCGCACUAUUACGAUAACGGCUCCGUAUACAAGGUCCUGGAAGAAGCGGCGUGGCUGGAGCAGAGGAGCCGACAGCUGCAGGACUUCCUUUCUCCCUCGUGUCACAGAGAACUUGAGUACCCCCCUUCCCCUAUCUAUUCAUUGGCUCACACCAUUGGAACAGACAUUUUAAGGAUUUUUUUUAUUCCAUUUUAAAGAUUCUUGGUUAUCACAAGUUUCUUUUCAAAAUAACUCAUUCUUCACCCUGUUUUAACAACUUGUAAAUAAAAUUCCUGCAUUGUCA